UUCCAAGAGUUCAGCUCGGAUAACGUCGGCCAUCCUCAGAGCACAGCAGUUGAGGAAGUAAUCAUGACACCACUUUUCAACACAGUCUGGAGGGAAAGAAGCAGAGCUGAUGUGCUGUAAGCGACACAGUGAGAGAGGGAACACAAGCAGGGGAAGUGGAGGAGGGAGAAGAGGCUUCCUGCUGAGCAGAGAGCCCAAUGUGGGGCUCAAUCCCAGCACCCUGGGAUCAUGACCUGAGUCAAAGGCAGACGCAGAAUGACUGAGCCACCCAGGCACCCUCCAAAUAUUAUAUUAAAGUUCAGUCACCUGGUUAAGUUAA